GGAAAUGUCAUUUCCAAUGUCAGAACACAAGCCUUGUAAGCCUGGGGUCCCGGGUUCAAUUCCCGGUGUUGCUC
rnacentral:tRNA from 1 species